rnacentral:rRNA from 1 species
GACGAACGCUGGCGGCGUGCCUAAUACAUGCAAGUCGAACGAGAGCGACCGGUGCUUGCACUGGUCAAUCUAGUGGCGAACGGGUGAGUAACACGUGGGUAACCUGCCCAUCAGAGGGGGAUAACAUCCGGAAACGGAUGCUAAAACCGCAUAGGUCUUCGAACCGCAUGGUUUGAAGAGGAAAAGAGGCGCAAGCUUCUGCUGAUGGAUGGACCCGCGGUGCAUUAGCUAGUUGGUGAGGUAACGGCUCACCAAGGCCGUGAUGCAUAGCCGACCUGAGAGGGUGAUCGGCCACAUUGGGACUGAGACACGGCCCAAACUCCUACGGGAGGCAGCAGUAGGGAAUCUUCCGCAAUGGACGCAAGUCUGACGGAGCAACGCCGCGUGAGUGAAGAAGGUUUUCGGAUCGUAAAACUCUGUUGUUAGAGAAGAACAAGUGCUAGAGUAACUGUUAGCGCCUUGACGGUAUCGAACCAGAAAGCCACGGCUAACUACGU